rnacentral:lncRNA from 1 species
AGCAGCAUAACCUCCGACUAAUGUAUGUAGACCAAGGACUUUACUUCUUCGUAAAUUUACUUCUUUAUACCGUGACAUCCCUUGGUUAAAGUUCUUGCUCUGCCAAUUAGGACCCAACCACAAGAAAAUUCAUGUUAUAUUACCUAUUUGACGGAAAGCAAUCUAUAUAAAAGAUGAACUUGAAAGAGAAAAAGGCAUCUAUAGAGCGAAAGGUGAAAAACACAUCUAAAGUAUUCCAAUUUUUGAAUUUCAUACCUAAACUAUCACUAAUUAGUUAGUAAAACACGCAUCAACUGCUAGGCAUGUAACUGAAAAUAUCAGGAUAGUAAAGGUGUGUUUUGGACCGUUAACACAAAUCUAUCUAUAUAAUAAAAGAUUUGAACUUGAUGGAGGAAAAACAAUCUAUAUUCAAAUAUGCAAACAGUUUUAGUAGGCACAUAGAUGAUAAAAGCAAGUAAGUACCUCGCUCUCCUCGAUCUGACCCACAUACUUGUUCCAGCGCUCAAAAUCUCUGGGCUUCCAAAAAUACCCUACUUCUUUGUCGACAAUCGAAUCGUCACCGUCGAUGUCGCUUCCAUCCGUCAGAGGUAAUUGAUCCGAAGUUUCGAAAACGCUCGAUUCUUCUUCUUCUUCUGCAUCUUCCUCCUCAUUCACCUUUUGCUUCUUCACCGACGGCUCAUAAUCUGAUUCGCGCGAAUAUUCCGAUUUGCUUUCCUUUUCACCCUUCUGAUGGCAGCGGUGGUGAUGAUGGCGGCGAUGGCUUUUCACCUUCUGAUGGUGGUGAUGACGGCGGCGGCUGUGACAACAAAUUGACAAAACCCUAGCAUCACAAAUUUGGGUAUGGACUAUUGCCCCAAUAGAGCCUUUAAAUAGAGGUGAACCCAAAACUUUUUGUUGGUUUUUUUUACAAACAGC